AACGAACGCUGGCGGCAUGCCUAACACAUGCAAGUCGAACGAGACCUUCGGGUCUAGUGGCGCACGGGUGCGUAACGCGUGGGAACCUGCCCUUAGGUUCGGAAUAACUCCCCGAAAGGGGUGCUAAUACCGGAUAAUGUCUUCGGACCAAAGAUUUAUCGCCUUUGGAUGGGCCCGCGUUGGAUUCGCUAGUUGGUAGGGUAAAAGCCUACCAAGGCGACGAUCCAUAGCUGGGUUGAGAGGAUGAUCAGCCACACUGGGACUGAGACACGGCCCAGACUCCUACGGGAGGCAGCAGUGGGGAAUAGUGGACAAUGGGCGAAAGCCUGAUCCAGCAAUGCCGCGUGAGUGAUGAAGGCCGUAGGGUUGUAAAGCUCUUUUACCCGGGAUGAUAAUGACAGUACCGGGAGAAUAAGCUCCGGCUAACUCCGUG
rnacentral:rRNA from 1 species